rnacentral:rRNA from 1 species
CGAAGUGGCGACAUGGAGCGAAUCCCAAAAACAAACGCCCCAGUUCGGAUUGUAGUCUGCAACCCGACUACAUGAAGCCGGAAUCGCUAGUAAUCGCGGAUCAGAAUGCCGCGGUGAAUACGUUCCCGGGUCUUGUACACACCGCCCGUCACACCAUGGGAGGUCGGGAAUGCCCGAAGUCAGUGACCCCAACCCAAGGGAGGGAGCUGCCGAAGGCAGGCCUGGUGACUGGGGUGAAGUCGUAACAAGGUAAC